CGAACGGGGAUUACACGGCGAUGCGAUUUCGGUCAAAUCAAGUGCAAUCUUAGUGGCGGACGGGUGAGUAACGCGUGGGUAACCUGCCUUGCACUGGGGGAUAACACUUAGAGAUAGGUGCUAAUACCGCAUAAGCGCACGGUCCUGCAUGGGACAGUGUGAAAAACUCCGGUGGUGCAAGAUGGACCCGCGUCUGAUUAGCUGGUUGGCGGGGUAAAGGCCCACCAAGGCGACGAUCAGUAGCCGGCCUGAGAGGGUGGACGGCCACAUUGGGACUGAGACACGGCCCAAACUCCUACGGGAGGCAGCAGUGGGGGAUAUUGGACAAUGGGGGGAACCCUGAUCCAGCGACGCCGCGUGAGUGAAGAAGUAUUUCGGUAUGUAAAGCUCUGUCAGCAGGGAAGAAAGCAAUGACGGUACCUGACCAAGAAGCCCCGGCUAACUACGUGCCAGCAGCCGCGGUAAUACGUAGGGGGCAAGCGUUAUCCGGAAUUACUGGGUGUAAAGGGAGCGUAGACGGCUGUGCAAGUCUGGAGUGAAAGGCGGGGGCCCAACCCCCGGACUGCUCUGGAAACUGUAUGGCUGGAGUGCAGGAGAGGUAAGCGGAAUUCCUAGUGUAGCGGUGAAAUGCGUAGA
rnacentral:rRNA from 1 species